CGGUUAAGUUAGAAAGGGCGCACGGUGGAUGCCUUGGCACUAGGAGCCGAUGAAGGACGGGACGAACACCGAUAUGCUUCGGGGAGCUGUAAGCAAGCUUUGAUCCGGAGAUUUCCGAAUGGGGAAACCCACCACUCGUAAUGGAGUGGUAUCCAUAUCUGAAUACAUAGGAUAUGAGAAGGCAGACCCGGGGAACUGAAACAUCUAAGUACCCGGAGGAAGAGAAAGCAAAUGCGAUUCCCUGAGUAGCGGCGAGCGAAACGGGACCAGCCCAAACCAAGAGGCUUGCCUCUUGGGGUUGUAGGACACUCUGUACGGAGUUACAAAGGGACGAGGUAGAUGAAGAGGUCUGGAAAGGCCCGCCAUAGAAGGUAACAGCCCUGUAGUCAAAACUUCGUUCUCUCCUGAGUGGAUCCUGAGUACGGCGGAACACGUGAAAUUCCGUCGGAAUCCGGGAGGACCAUCUCCCAAGGCUAAAUACUCCCUAGUGACCGAUAGUGAACCAGUACCGUGAGGGAAAGGUGAAAAGCACCCCGGAAGGGGAGUGAAAGAGAUCCUGAAACCGUGUGCCUACAAGUAGUCAGAGCCCGUUAACGGGUGAUGGCGUGCCUUUUGUAGAAUGAACCGGCGAGUUACGAUCCCGUGCAAGGUUAAGCAGAAGAUGCGGAGCCGCAGCGAAAGCGAGUCUGAAUAGGGCGAAUUGAGUACGUGGUCGUAGACCCGAAACCAGGUGAUCUACCCAUGUCCAGGGUGAAGUUCAGGUAACACUGAAUGGAGGCCCGAACCCACGCACGUUGAAAAGUGCGGGGAUGAGGUGUGGGUAGGGGUGAAAUGCCAAUCGAACCUGGAGAUAGCUGGUUCUCUCCGAAAUAGCUUUAGGGCUAGCCUCAAGGUAAGAGUCUCGGAGGUAGAGCACUGAUUGGACUAGGGGCCCCUACCGGGUUACCGAAUUCAGUCAAACUCCGAAUGCCGAUGACUUAUCCUUGGGAGUCAGACUGCGAGUGAUAAGAUCCGUAGUCGAAAGGGAAACAGCCCAGACCGCCAGCUAAGGUCCCAAAGUAUACGUUAAGUGGAAAAGGAUGUGGAGUUGCUUAGACAACCAGGAUGUUGGCUUAGAAGCAGCCACCAUUUAAAGAGUGCGUAAUAGCUCACUGGUCGAGUGACUCUGCGCCGAAAAUGUACCGGGGCUAAACGUAUCACCGAAGCUGCGGACUGUUCUUCGAACAGUGGUAGGAGAGCGUUCUAAGGGCUGUGAAGCAAGACCGGAAGGACUUGUGGAGCGCUUAGAAGUGAGAAUGCCGGUAUGAGUAGCGAAAGAGGGGUGAGAAUCCCCUCCACCGAAUGCCUAAGGUUUCCUGAGGAAGGCUCGUCCGCUCAGGGUUAGUCGGGACCUAAGCCGAGGCCGAAAGGCGUAGGCGAUGGAUAACAGGUUGAUAUUCCUGUACCACCUCCUCACCAUUUGAGCAAUGGGGGGACGCAGGAGGAUAGGGUAAGCGCGGUAUUGGAUAUCCGCGUCCAAGCAGUUAGGCUGGGAAAUAGGCAAAUCCGUUUCCCGUGAAGGCUGAGCUGUGAUGGCGAGCGAAUUAUAGUAGCGAAGUUCCUGAUUCCACACUGCCAAGAAAAGCCUCUAGCGAGGUGAGAGGUGCCCGUACCGCAAACCGACACAGGUAGGCGAGGAGAGAAUCCUAAGGUGAUCGAGAGAACUCUCGUUAAGGAACUCGGCAAAAUGACCCCGUAACUUCGGGAGAAGGGGUGCUCUGUUAGGGUGCAAGCCCGAGAGAGCCGCAGUGAAUAGGCCCAGGCGACUGUUUAGCAAAAACACAGGUCUCUGCGAAGCCGUAAGGCGAAGUAUAGGGGCUGACGCCUGCCCGGUGCUGGAAGGUUAAGAGGAGCGCUUAGCGUAAGCGAAGGUGCGAAUUGAAGCCCCAGUAAACGGCGGCCGUAACUAUAACGGUCCUAAGGUAGCGAAAUUCCUUGUCGGGUAAGUUCCGACCCGCACGAAAGGCGCAACGAUCUGGGCACUGUCUCAACGAGAGACUCGGUGAAAUUAUAGUACCUGUGAAGAUGCAGGUUACCCGCGACAGGACGGAAAGACCCCGUGGAGCUUUACUGCAGCCUGAUAUUGAAUGUUGGUACAGCUUGUACAGGAUAGGUAGGAGCCUUGGAAACCGGAGCGCCAGCUUCGGUGGAGGCAUCGGUGGGAUACUACCCUGGCUGUAUUGACCUUCUAACCCGCCGCCCUUAUCGGGCGGGGAGACAGUGUCAGGUGGGCAGUUUGACUGGGGCGGUCGCCUCCUAAAAGGUAACGGAGGCGCCCAAAGGUUCCCUCAGAAUGGUUGGAAAUCAUUCGCAGAGUGUAAAGGCACAAGGGAGCUUGACUGCGAGACCUACAAGUCGAGCAGGGACGAAAGUCGGGCUUAGUGAUCCGGUGGUUCCGCAUGGAAGGGCCAUCGCUCAACGGAUAAAAGCUACCCCGGGGAUAACAGGCUUAUCUCCCCCAAGAGUCCACAUCGACGGGGAGGUUUGGCACCUCGAUGUCGGCUCAUCGCAUCCUGGGCUGUAGUCGGUCCCAAGGGUUGGGCUGUUCGCCCAUUAAAGCGGUACGCGAGCUGGGUUCAGAACGUCGUGAGACAGUUCGGUCCCUAUCCGUCGCGGGCGCAGGAAAUUUGAGAGGAGCUGUCCUUAGUACGAGAGGACCGGGAUGGACGCACCGCUGGUGUACCAGUUGUUCUGCCAAGGGCAUCGCUGGGUAGCUAUGUGCGGACGGGAUAAGUGCUGAAAGCAUCUAAGCAUGAAGCCCCCCUCAAGAUGAGAUUUCCCAUUCCGCAAGGAAGUAAGAUCCCUGAAAGAUGAUCAGGUUGAUAGGUCUGAGGUGGAAGUGUGGCGACACAUGGAGCUGACAGAUACUAAUCGAUCGAGGACUUAACCAAUUU
rnacentral:rRNA from 1 species